AACAGAUGGAAGAGAAACAUGUUUUUAUUUAAGAAAGCAGGGAGGAGAGAUAGAGAACAAUGUUUGAUGAUAAAGAGGUAGAGAGAGAGACAGGGGGGGAGAGAGGUAGAGAGAGACAGGGGGGGAGAGGUAGAGAGAGACAGGGGGGGAGAGGUAGAGAGAGACAGGGGGAGAGAGGUAGAGAGAGACAGGGGGGAGAGGUAGAGAGAGACAGGGGGGGAGAGGUAGAGAGAGACGGGGGGAGAGGUAGAGAGAGACGGGGGGUAGAGAGAGACAGGGGGGAGAGAGCAAGAAGAG